CAUAGCAUUUACAUGACAAAAAAUAACUGAUAUAACUACUAUAGUAAUUUUCAGUAAUGCACUUAAACUGGGUUUUGCAAAUUUCAAGUUAUUGUUCAUUAAAGAAGUAGAAAUUUAGAUAAAUUAGUUUAAAAAGGAGAGAAUAAUUCUCUCCUGAUUAGAACAUAUAAAUUAAUUCAAUUCUUAUUGUUUUUGUGCAGAUACGGGUGAUACUAGAUUCUUCUUUCUAUUGUGAUUCCUGUCCAGUUGCUUAGAACUGAGAAGAAUGAGAGAGAUAGACACCUCUGGGGAAUUAUGUUGGUAGCCAAGCAAGGAAGACACUGAGAUAGCUGACAGCUGCCAGUGGGAUGGAAGCUAUAAGGACUUUACUAUCAAACCCUGACAAUCUGUUUACAAGACCAGGGACUAUUGGCAGGUGAAAGUAGGAUUUUCACUCAUUAUGUCUCUUAACAGAAAAGAAGAAUUAAGAAAUAAGAGUCAAGGAAACUCUUCCCAAAGAGGAAUAUACAUUGAUGUUAUAUGAAAAAGGAGUUCUUUAUUCAGCAAAGGGAAUUUGCCAGCUCUGUAGGACAGAAAAUAGCCUGCAAAUCAAUGGAAGAAACCUCUCCUCAUAGUCAGAUACUUUGGAAUCGUCGGCCAGUCCUCCGAAGGCACUGAAAAGCAUCCCUCCUCAGGAAGAUGUGAAACCAAACAUCAUGUCUCCUAGAUGGUAUUAAGGAACUGAAACGUACCAGAUCUCCAUAUCUGGACAAUGAAAUGCCAGACCCCUCACCUGUCCUGAUUGCCUAACUGAUCACCUGCUGUCAGUUGACCAAGUUCUCUUCCUCAUCCUUCCCUAAUUCCUGUAUACCCACACAUAAUUACACCUCUUCCCUGCUAUAUAAACCCUUAAUUUUAGUCCAUUAAGGAGAUGAAUUUGAGACUGAUCUGCAGCACCCAAAUAAAGCCUUCUUCCCCAGCAAUCAUUGUCUCAUUGAUUGAUUUUCUGAGAGGAGAGCAACAGGACUUAGAUCAAACCCCCAGUGUUUUGAUAACAAAUAUACAAUACUGUUAGUUGGCAGUAAUAAUAAACUGUAAGUUGAAAACACCAAGAAAAUCAGCAUGCAUGAUAAUCAGCAUUAUUAUUUAACCAUUCAUAAAUUUUUUUUUGCAGAGUUUUGAUUUUCUUAGAUUCCUAUAAGCAUUAGAGCAAUUAGGUCAUCUCUUUUAAACUAUUUUCUUCUCGUAAGUACAGAUUUACACAAUGACCAAGAAUGUUUGGCAGGGUCUACACUUUUGACUAUAUUAAUAAGUAGGUAUCUUAAUGUGUCACAAAUGUCAGUUAAGAGUAGACUAUUCAUGAGGUCUUUCCUCUUUAGUACUUCCAUUGAUUGCUUCUUUUUGCAGUGUUUUUACAAUAAUUUCUAAACAAACAAUCGAAUGUGCUGUGAAAAUUUCCCAUUUUCAAUUGUAGGACAU
rnacentral:lncRNA from 10 species